rnacentral:tRNA from 1 species
AACCUCUGAGAUAAGUGGG